AGAGGAUUAGUCUAAUAUAAGACCUUAGAUUUCGGCUCAAAUAAUUAUGGUUUAAAUCCAUAAUCCUCUU
rnacentral:tRNA from 1 species